AAGUCGUAACAAGGUUUCCGUAGGUGAACCUGCGGAAGGAUUAUUACCAAUAUAGCGAACCGAGCGUUAGCGAGGCUUCGCGAUCAAAUUGUAUUUAAAACCCAACUCUUUAAAUGUAUAUUAUUAUUGUAUUCUAAAUAAUAAAAGAUCACUUUCAACAACGGAUCUCUUGGCUCUC
rnacentral:misc_RNA from 1 species